CGUUUAAUCAACCAGCUCGGCCUAGAACGUCCACCAUGCAACCAUAGUGUUCAACUGUCAGCCUAAUAUUGUAAUAUUUCUCCAUUCUUUCAAACAGAGCUUUCCCCUCCUCGACCAAACCGGAGUAACUGCAUGCUGUGAGAACUCCUGUAAAAGUAAUAUCAUUCGGCUUAAUUUCUUUAUCUUCAAUGUCUUUGAAAAGAUGAAGCGCUUAUCGUCCUUGGCCAUGUAUUGCAAAACCGGUGAUAAUGGCUGUCCACAGAGAAACACAUCUUGUCUCUACUAUUUUAUUGAAGGUGUGAACCCAUCGACCUUGUUCAAGAGCGUCAAGGUGUGCACAGGCAGAUAGCGCACAUGCUAGCGCUACAUUAUCAGGGAUCUCUCAGUGGCAUUCUUCUGAAGAGGCUGCUGGCAGAGGCAAUGCAGCCGAACUUGGCAUAAGCAUGAAGAAGAGCGUUCAGAGUGUAGAUUUCAGAUGCGAAGCCAAAUUUGAUGACGUGGCAAUGAAUUUGAUGAAUUUCUUCGAGAGUGCAGGCCUUUAUAGGGAAAGGAAAUGUGUGGAGGUUAUGAGGAGCUGCAUUGUCGAGCAUCUGGCAGUAGAGGAGGAUAGAUUGUUCUUGAUUUUGGCUUGGAGAAAGCUCUGAUGAUGGUGUUCCACAUGAAUGUGUUGGAUUCUGUCAAAGAACUGAAGAGGGUAGGUUAAAAGCCAAUAUCAGUAGCCAGCGAGGUGUUACAAAGAGCAGUUAACAAUUUGCUACAGGGAAUGGUUUGAUGCGAACAAGGCCUGUUUUGAUCAUUCGGAUGUGGAUUUGUUUCGCUUGUUCUCGGUCUGAGCAUUUUUCUAGUAGAGGAAUGCAUGAUGUUGGCUCAGGUUUGUAGGAGAGAGCAGCAGACCCAUGGCAGCUCACUGUAGGAUAGUGGUGUUGGUUAGCUAGGGAUCAGUUACCGAAUUAAAGGUAGGAUUUUUAUUAAGGUGUUUCAGCGUGAGGUGCUACCGUAAUGUCUUUGGGAAAGGUUGUUGCUGGCAAUAUUACCAGAAUAUCCGUACGUUUUUACAUUGAUGUUCGACUUGUCCCUGGUUCUUUUGCCCCCGGUCCAUGAUUGGUUGCGAGUGAACAAAUAGCAGCGUAUAUGCAUUUUUUUUUUCCAAUUCUCAGAGAACUGGAAAAAAAUUAAGGGAUUUAGUAUAAAGAUGUGCUUUUAAGGUUUGUUAAUAGUUAGUUAUUUCUUUUUACUUAAAUUUUCUAUCAAGGUAGUUGAUCCUUUUAUUGUUCCUUGACCAUGAUAUUUUUAAUACAAAAGCAACUACAUCGAUUGCGAUAUCAGCU